UGCUGAAGCAUAUAAUAAUCUUGGUUUUUCUCUUACUUGUGCACUCUCUCGCGCACACAAUAGUUUCCAAUUGUUGUUGAUUUAUGUUAUUUUGCUUUUAUUCGUCUGAGUUCAAGUUUUCUUGACUAAAAAUAAUUCUCUCAUGCCUACCCCUCUUUUCUUUUUCCCUGAAUAUCAUUCUGUAUAUACUCUAUAUGUAGGGGUCCUUUACAGAGAUGCUGGA
rnacentral:misc_RNA from 1 species